UUUUCAUCUCUUUACAACUGACUUAAACACACCCAAAUCAGAUUUAUAGAGCACUUCUCCUCUUAAUAGAGUGCUAUUACCUUCUCGUGUAAAUACGAAGCGUUUACUUUCAUUAAAUUUAAAGUGUCAUUGGGUGGGCAGGCUUUUUUAUUACUUGGUACACUGCGUUUUUCCAAUCAAGAAUUGUCCAGUCUUGACUUAGCCUAAGAACCCUUGAAUGAUUUUGAAUAAUCUGCUCAUAUUUGUGGCGAUUGAUUAUCACACUUUUUUUUUUUAAUUUCGCGUUCGAUCAACUCAAAAACCCUAUCUGGGGGAAUGGAUGAAUGGCCAACUAUUGGAAAUGUAAACUCGAUAAUUUUAAUGGUUUUUGGUGCCUCAUAACAGAGCCAGUAUGCUAGCGUCCCCAUGACGGUGCUAUUUUUAUUUUGCCCCCCACAUCCAUCAGCAAAAAGUAAAAUUUUGUUUGUAGUUUCUCUAAAAUCAAAAUUUCUCAGCGUAGUAUGUAUAGCUGAGGCAAUAGCAUUGGACUUUUUACAAUAUUCAGUUUCUAGCCAGACAAAGGAUAACACUGUAUUUUGAGAAAGUUUUGUUGAAGAGCUGCCACAAACCACAGUAAAAUUAUAAAAGUUUAUUUGUUGAGAAAAGUAUGCACUUUGAUCUGGCAAUUUAGACAAAGCCAAAUUUUUUUGACAAUCAAAAGAAAAAAGCUGUACAUCUUCUCUGUCUAAUUUUAAACACUUAUAAAAUGCUUUGCUUUUCAACUUAUGGACGUUGUUCGCAAAUUAUCUGAGCUUUGUCAUUAGUGUUCACUUUCAACUUUUCUUCAAACUAAAUACAAGUGGAACACAAAUCAGUCAUGGGGGUACCAAAGAUUAGAUUAUAAUUUUUAUUCACAUAUCUUCUAAAAAAACACAAUUUUAUGGCCAUAUUAGGAUUUUGUUCACAAAACAUUGUAUAAAUUGUAAACAUUGUAUAUAUUGUAUAAUUUUCGAAAAUUUAAUUCACAGGGCAAAAACACACGAGUAGUUCGAUUUCUUUGAUAAUGACUUAUUUUGCAUUCCAAAUUUUCAUUGAAUUGCUCAAUUAAAUCCUUAAGAUGGUCAUUUUUGUUUUUAACCCUAUCACCACCACGUCGCUCUUUUGGCAACUCAUUAGAAAGCAAAUAAUUUCUUACAUUUCUUUCCAACCUGUCUCCACUACAACGGGUUAUUCCGAUAAAAGCUUUUUUACAAACUCUAAAUUUUUCCUUAGUUAUUGUUGAAACCAAAUAUUUUAUGGAAAGUCCAUGAUGAUUUCUUAAUGAUUUUCUGGGUUUUGAACCCUCACAAAAUUGUAGCACAAAAAUGUCUUGUUUUACCUUGUCAACAUUUGAAUAUAACGCCAUGUGGAAGCUUUGAAUGUCUCUCAUGCUUAGUUUCCGACACAAAAACACUGGUUUUUUAUUAUGAGCACAUUUCGGGUAUUGAGGCAAAUCAUGUGGCUUAUGUCUGAAAUAAAGAAAAAACCAACCUAUAAUAAUUUGUAAAAUUUAAUUUUUCCUGCAUACUUAUUGUUAUGCAGGUUUGGACAAUAUUAUUAUAAACAUUGCAUUUACCUUUCAAUUUGCAUCUUCCUUCUUUUCCAGUUCUCCUUAUUUAUUUCGCGUUUUAUCCCUUUUCCUUUUUCACAUGGUUGUACUGUAUCCAUUCCUACAGUAGUAGACACUUUUUUCGAAACUAAUAUUAACAAAUUAAAAUUUUAACGGCUUAAAACUGCGACACGAUGUUUAUACUAUCAAGUACAGCAACAAACUAAAAAUAAAAAUAAUGAAACUAUAACAUGUGGUAUGCGGCCGUUACAAGUGUUUCUAAUGCUCUUAUUGGUAGAUUGAAAAUACCCAGUUUUGCUUCUGAACGGCGAUUGCAAAUACACAGUUUUGCAUUUAUCCUCUAUAAGUAAACGUCUGUUUUAUACGUAAAUAGGCACUUUUGCAGCUAAUAUUGUAAUAUAUCUUUUAGAUAUCAGUGUAGUCUGUCAAAAUGUAAAAUAAAAUCACUCUCGCGUUUUUUGUCAAAUACCGAGUUUUGCAUUUAGUAUACUCAAUGUCAUUUUUUAAAAGGGUUGUAAUACGUCAUAAUCUUAUCAUAAAAAUUAUAAAUUCCAUCCCAGGCUCUACCAUAGAUCCUGUAGGGGGCUGGUGUAAAUAAUUGUGGACUGUAUUAAUUUGAGCACUGACUUUAAUAGCUUUGUUCGCGGGUCCGAUUCCGAACCAGUUCAGGGACUAUUCGCAUGCGCAUUGGGUAAAACUGCGUUCACGGAGAAAAAUUCUGAACUUUCGGUAACAGUUCUGCGUUCGCGGAUCAUCUUGAACCGGUUUGUUAUUGAUUCGGAAUCGGUUCUAGCAGUCCCCAGAUUUUGGCUGGUAUUAUUAGUAUGACAUUUGAGUUUUUAUACUGUUUAUUUUUGUUGUAUUGGGGUUGUGUUUAUUAUUGUUUUUGUAUAAGACUUUGGUUUUAACUCCGGUUUUAAGCAUUCUUUGAAAACUUUUUAGGGUUAUAACACCUAUUACCAGCAUCUAAACAAAUUGUAUAGCUUAAAUAUUGGCUUUUCUAUUACUUUCCUCAUAAUGUCUGACCAUUUGUCCUCCAGCGAUGAAGAUAUGGAGGAAUUAUUGGAACUUGUUGAGGUUCCUAAGAGCAAGGCUUAUUUUGAAGAAAUUGUGCCCCAGUUUAGUGAAGAACAAUGAACAUUUUCGCCUAACCCGAGAAAUGUCUAAUGAACUAGCAAACUGUUUUGCUAACUCUCAGUACUACCACUGGCAAGAAGGCGAUUCUGAUGAAUUAACUCCUCUUAAAAAAACUACGGAGCGAACACAACGGUCAAAGCCGAACAUCAUGGCUUUCAUAUCAGCACUGACGUCGCUCUCCGCUAUUGUUUCGGAUACAUUAAAGCGACGGUGUCACGUCUAGUGCAGUAUAUAAAUUUUUGCUUUCGUAUAACAUAGUAUUUCCUCUACAGAUCCAGUUAAAACCAUAAGUCAUGAGUUACAGUGUCGGUACUAAAAUGAUUACCGCAGUUACAGAUCUGGCUUCCAGGAAACUGUACCAGUCUGACAAUACCGCUUUAAUUUACCAAAAUUUCAAACCGCUUUUUGUCACCAUAUAAUAUUGCAGUUUCAAAGUUUUACGAGGCUAGCGCCCUUGGCAUUUCUGGCGGCAAAACGAAUAGUACGAGAGCUGCCGACAGAUUCGAUUUCGAGACGUGCAUAUACUUCAUAAUCUCAAGUAUUAUGAUGAGCAACUUUUCUCCAGGGGGACUUUUAGUUUUUGAAUACGUACUACGGGAAAAUUUGAUUAUGACCUUCAUUAUAUUCUAGUGUUAUUCAGUAAAAUAACAUAAAUGAAUAAGUCUUGCAAUUCCCGUCUGUGGCAGAGUGGAUUCUGAUACUAAAUGACUUAAUUAUUGACAAGUAGUAGUAGUAUUGGGGAAACACUGUCCGGCAAGUAUGCCUAAAAGUCCCUUUCCACGAACCUUUGACUGCUCAUUACAGCUGACCGCCUUGGACUCUCUUUAAGUAGGCAAGUCGUUCUCCUAGUAAAGGAGAGAUGGUCUUUCCAGUUGAGGUCCUUUAGUUCCUCUCGUGGCAGGAAGGGAGCACCCAUGGUUUCUCUCCUGAUCCUAGACCAUCCUUCGCAUUCGCCUAUAAAAUGAUAUUCUGUUUUCUCCGUCAGGCCACACCUAAGGCACAGCGGGCUGGCGGCCAUCAUGCCUAAGGUAUGUAUGUCGGUUGAGUCUACAAUGACAAAGACUCCGGUCAGGUAUACUAUAAUUCCUCUCUGCUAGGACAGCAGCCACGUUAUCCUAGCUUUUCUUUAGAUUUGAUAGCAGUUCUUCGACCUGUCGACAACCUCUGUUCCUACUCCAAUUUAUCCUUGUCUUUUUCGAUGCCCAGUUGUCUCAGUCAGCAAAAUGUGUCUUUUACUUAAUCCAAGAUAGGGUUUGGUUACCCUAUGGAAUAGACAAUCGGUGGGAGAGCUCGCGAACUCGGCCGUCCGCUCAUUACCCGUCACUCCGCUGUGUCCGGGAACCCAACACACUCGAACCAUCUUCCUCCUACCCAAUGUGUCCAGCGCAUCCCUGCACUCUUGGACCAGUUUGGAGCAAGUCCUGGAUGUUUAGCUAACUUUUAAAGUAGUCUGGAUGUAAAUGAUUACUGUUCGUCUGUGACUUCUUCCCUGGUGGCCACCUCCAGAAUGGCGAACACUUCCACUUGAAAGAUGUCUUUCGAGCGAGAAAGCUUGUCCUUGAUCGAUGCCGCUGCGAUACACUACGCCUGUGUUGGCCAUUCUUGAACCGUCUGUGUGCCAUAGUUGCAAAUCUUUUUAAGCUAUAUGAGGCCAUCCUUCCUUGCCUUGCUAUGUCAAUCUUAAAGGAACCUCCAGAGAACACUGUGUGGUUACAGUGUUCUCUGGCUUUGCAUGAAGGGGCAACAGAAUUGGUAUUUCAUUCUGUAACGGCCAAUUACUAACUAUUUCUAUAAGAAAAAGACUCGAGAUUGAUAAUCAAUGCCUUAUUCAUCGCAAUAUUUAAUCGCUACUGUACUCCUUCGAUAAAAGAUAAUGAACACGUGUCAAAAACUUUAAAACAAGAGCCGCCAUACCAUUUUAGUGGAGCAGAAGAGCAUCGUCACCACGACUGUUUUGCUGAUAUGAAAAAUAUUAAUUUUAAUGAGUUCGUGUGAAAAAAAAACAAUUUUUUUUAGAAAACUUUAACACGGUAAUGCGGCUCAAAAUUUAGAAGAGGUUUAGGAUAUGUGAAAUUUUCAUCUCAUUCUCACUAUAGUACUCAUGGAGUUUCAUAAAUCUUUUACUUUUCCCUUCAGCUAUAUAUUUUUCAAUGCUCAUUUUGGAUAGUCACGUAAAAUUUUAGAAGAACCGACCUUAAUCUCUAAUCUAUUUUACGUAACUCUUUAAUUAAACCAGUUAAUUGCAUUACUUUUCUUUAGUAUCUUUUUCUGUUUUCAUUAAGUCUAAUAAGGUUCAUUUUGCCUUCCCCUGAUAAGUGGAUGAUUAUCUGAUGCUAUAAUUUAUAGGAGCAAGAAAUAUUAAAAUUUUCUCCCGAUUGUGUUGAGCUCUUGAGAUUGAAGAAAUGCCACGCUUUUUCGAAUCGUCUAAAGCUUUUAAGUCAUAUCAGCAGCCCUGGCGUUGUACUAAUAAAAUCAAUAUAACUAUUAAAUUUUAUUAUUUCCAAUAUUUUUAAAUGUUGCACACUGGCAUACUAAGAUAAUUUAACAAAUUUUGUUACUGUCAACCUAAUGCUGAAAUCCCAAUGAAAUUUGAUUUAACGACCAAACCACCGUAUCUGUUUUUGUCAAUUAUUAACGUCUUUAAAUUGAAAAAGGAAAGGGAUAAUUCAAAAAACACAAGCUCCAACUAUAAAAAAACACUUAUACAAAAAUGCCUUUAUUUAUACGACAAAAGUCGAAGAAUGCUUUUUUAACAUUUAUAGUCAUCGCCCUAAUUUUAACAGAGUAUAAUUGACUUUAUCGCAUGCAUGCACAGACCGCGGCCCGCCGCGCCGGUCGAGUACUGGUGGCCCGUCGACAGCAAAAGUAAUACUCUCAUACAUUCGAAAAAUAUUAAAUUCUAUUCCAGAUUUUGAACAAAAAUUUGUUCGAAAAGUAAUUUGAAUCUAGCGCCCAAAAAUGCUAAGUCAAGUAACAUCGCUUGCCGCCUUUAUAUAAAGUUCAAAAUAGUAGAGAAAUCAAGAAUUUUCUAGCGCGAUGUGAGCAAGCGAGAUAGCAAUAGUCGCGAAUUCCCGAUUGCUCGCGUAGGUAGAUACACGAAGCUUCCAGAGUCUUCUUCCAGAAAUAUAUUACAAUUUUUUUUUCAGAAUUUCUCUAAUUGUAAUAACUACGUCUUUAUUUCAGAUAUAAAAUCUGUAUUAAAAUAUUAAAAUUUCUAAGGAAUACUAUUUAAUCAAUUAUUUUUGAUAAAUUAAAAAAGGAUGGGUAAUUUAAGUAGGUACUGUAAUUGUUUUUAGGUGCUGUGUUAAUCCCCCCAAAAUUAGAACGCAACAUGGAGAAGCCAGGACCUAGUAAAAAACGUAAGGUUAAAGAUGAAAAUCGACAGUUUUAAGAAAUUUGGACUGAGAAAUACUUUUUUGUACGAAUAACAAAGUCGCUUGUUUAAUUUGCAAGAAUUCUAUUGCGAUUGCAAAGGAAUAUAAUGUAAAAGGGCACUAUAAAAUGCAGCAUCCUUCUUUUACCAAGGUACCGGCGAAUUAAUAAAGCAAAAAAUGUUGUCUUUAAAACGGGAGCUUAUUGGUCAGCAAGCUAUGUUUACAAAACCCAUUCAAGAUUCAGAAACAGCUACAGAAGUUAGUUAUAAUUUUUUUCGAAUGAUAGCAAAGCGGAGACGCCCCUUCAAUGAUGGCGAUUUUUUAAAGGAGAAGCAGCAAAAAAGUUUGAGAAAAUUCAAGUGAAUCGUAUGACGAAUCCAAAGACGAAUUAUGUCUUUGUCAGCACUCGACGGAUCCACUGAUAUUAGUUCCACAGCUCAACUUCUCAUAUUCAUACGAGGUGUUACUCAAGAUCUUGAAGUCUUAGAAGAGUUAUUAGUAAUGUGUUCAUUGAAAGGUCAAACCAAAGGAUUCGAUAUGUGAGUUGAAAUGUACUUUUGGAUGAGUGUUCAAAAACUGAUUUGGACUUAUCAAAAUUAUCGGGAGUUGCGACUUACGGUGCUCCUUCGAUGAUUGGUGUCAAUUCCGAUGCUUUUUCAGCAAAGUAACUCAUUGCUGAAAAAGCAUUUGCAAGUAAAAAACAUAAACGCUGAAGAUCCCAUGCAGUUUCACUGCAAUAUACACCAAGAAGCCCUCUGUUCUAAAAAAAUUGAAUUUCAAAAUGUCAUGAAAGUGGUUAGUUUCGACUAUAAAUUUCAUAAAAUCGCGAUGACUCAAUCACAGACAAUUUAAACAAUUCCUUGAUAACAUCGAAAACGAAUACGGAGAUUUACUGUAUUAUACAGAAGUAU